rnacentral:rRNA from 1 species
UACGAAGGGGGCUAGCGUUGUUCGGAAUUACUGGGCGUAAAGGGCGCGUAGGCUGUGCUGUAAGUCAGGCGUGAAAGGCCCGGGCUCAACCUGGGAACUGCGCAUGAUACUGCGGCGCUUGAAGGCGGGAGAGGAUGGCGGAAUUCCCAGUGUAGAGGUGAAAUUCGUAGAUAUUGGGAAGAACACCGGUGGCGAAGGCGGCCAUCUGGCCCGCAAUUGACGCUGAGGCGCGAAAGCGUGGGGAGCAAACAGG